rnacentral:misc_RNA from 1 species
GAAAUGCGAUAAGUAGUGUGAAUUGCAGAAUUCAGUGAAUCAUCGAAUCUUUGAACGCACAUUGCGCCCUUUGGUAUUCCAAAGGGCAUGCCUGUUCGAGCGUCAUUUGUACCCUCAAGCUUUGCUUGGUGUUGGGCGUCUUGUCUCUAGCUUUGCUGGAGACUCGCCUUAAAGUAAUUGGCAGCCGGCCUACUGGUUUCGGAGCGCAGCACAAGUCGCACUCUCUAUCAGCAAAGGUCAAGCAUCCAUUAAGCCUUUUUUUCAACUUUUGACCUCGGAUCAGGUAGGGAUACCCGCUGAACUUAAGC